rnacentral:misc_RNA from 1 species
AACGCAUAUUGCGCUCUUUGGUAUUCCGAAGAGCAUGCUUGUUUGAGUAUCAGUAAACACCUCAAAACUUUUUUUUAUUUUUGAAAAACAGUUUUGGACUUGAGCAAUCCCAACACCAAUCUUUUUUAGAUCGGUGGCGGGUUGCUUGAAAUGCAGGUGCAGCUGGACAUUCUCCUGAGCUAAAAGCAUAUUUAUUUAGUCCCGUCAAACGGAUUAUUACUUUUGCUGCAGCUAAUAUAAAGGGAGUUUGACCGUUUUGGCUGACUGAUGCAGGAUUUCACAAGGGUCGGCAACGAUUCUUGUAAAACUCGAUCUCAAAUCAAGUAAGACUACCCGCUGAACUUAA